UCCGGCUUAUCACCGGCAGUCCCACUAGAGUGCCCAACUAAAUGCUGGCAACUAAUGGCGAGGGUUGCGCUCGUUGCGGGACUUAACCCAACAUCUCACGACACGAGCUGACGACAGCCAUGCAGCACCUGUGUACAGGCCCCGAGGGGAGGGCGACUUUCAUCGCCUGUCCUGCACAUGUCAAACCCAGGUAAGGUUCUUCGCGUUGCGUCGAAUUAAACCACACGCUCCGCUGCUUGUGCGGGCCCCCGCCUAUUCCUUUGAGUUUUAACCUUGCGGCCGUAGUCCCCAGGCGGUGAACUUAAUGCGUUAGCUGCGGCACUGAUCGGGUCAAUCCGACCAACACCUAGUUCACAACGUUUAGGGCGUGGACUAC
rnacentral:misc_RNA from 1 species